rnacentral:rRNA from 1 species
CAGUCGCCACGGUAAUACGAAGGGUGCAAGCGUUACUCGGAAUUACUGGGCGUAAAGCGUGCGCAGGCGGUUAUAUAAGACAGAUGUGAAAUCCCCGGGCUCAACCUGGGAACUGCAUUUGUGACUGUAUAGCUAGAGUACGGCAGAGGGGGAUGGAAUUCCGCGUGUAGCAGUGAAAUGCGUAGAUAUGCGGAGGAACACCGAUGGCGAAGGCAAUCCCCUGGGCCUGUACUGACGCUCAUGCACGAAAGCGUGGGGAGCAAACAGGAUUAGAUACCCGCGUAGUCCCUGUCUCUUAUAU